rnacentral:rRNA from 1 species
CUGAGACUAUAAGUCUCCUGAAGGAACGUUGAAGACGACGACGUUGAUAGGCCGGGUGUGUAAGCGCAGCGAUGCGUUGAGCUAACCGGUACUAAUGAACCGUGAGGCUUAACCUUAC